CAUGCUCAAUUUCAGGCCAUGAUUUUAAAAGGAAAGGCAGUAGACACGUUUUGGGGUGUGCUUAGCUCAAGGUCAUGGUGCAUUUGUUUAAAAGGUUAAAGAGACGAAUGCUCAGGUUACUUCGAAAAGAUCUGGCUUGAAUUGUAUUAACUUUGGAGUUUGCCCAGGAGGGUGCCCGCCUCACUUAAGCAGUGAGCAUCUUUAGAGAUACUGGUCCUUGAGUGCACACGGAGACAGCAUAGUCUGGACCGCAUGGCUUCUGAUCAACCCAGAUGUAUGUGCAUCACUCUCUGUGCCUCGGAUUCUGUAAUGGAGAGAAUGACUUACUGAUGGUGUAGGGACGCUGAGGAUGCGUGGAGCUGUGGACCAUGGGUGAAUUACUAGCUUGCAAAGCCUCACUGGAAGACAUAUUCUCUUCUGGCCCGAAGCUCAGGCAGGAUCAUCUUUGACCAGAACUACUGAGGACAGGACCCAGAAUCUGCCAUCAGCCACCACCUCAUCCCCAUUUUGUCUGGAGCUCAGUGUGUGUGUGUGUGUGUGUGUGUGUGCCUACCAAAUACACAUGUGUUGUUCUGACCUCCAGUCAAGGCUGGCAGGGAUGCCCUAUAGAAAUCUGGCUCUACACAGCAUGGAUCAACAUGAGACCCUAACUAGCGGCUCCCAGUAGCCAUCGGGGAAGCCAUAUAACUUUCCAGGGUGCUGUUCGAAGACUUGACAUUAACCAACUAAUGUGAUCUCAUAGCAGUCUCAUGGGUCUGGAAUCCACUCUGCAAAAGAGAAGUCCCAGAAUGCCAAGUUACACAUCCAAGAAGUGGAGUCUGGCUCAGGAACACGUCUACCUAUGCCCUAUUCUCUAUAGCUUUGCUCUUCUCUCCAUCCAAAAUGCUCUCACACCUUGGCCCUCUGAGGGCCCUUCUCUAGCUCUGGUCUUUGUUAUUGAAGUACAGGGGUCAUCGGAAUGGGGUGAUGGCACCAGGCCAUCAAGGGAACAUCUCUGACUAAAAGGAAGGGUCCACCCAG
rnacentral:lncRNA from 1 species